GCCCGAGCGCUGCGCGCAGCCCGGGUUCCUGCUGGUGCCUCUCCCUCCACACCUCCCCUAAAGCAGAGGGAGCCGGCUCCGGUCUCGGCCAGCCCAGAGAGGGCCUCCCACAGUGCAGCGGCGGUCUGAAGGGCUCCUCAAGCGCUGCCAGAGUGGGCGCCGAGGCCGAGGAGACCCCGAGAGCGAGUGAGGGCUGCCAGCAUGCUGUCACCUUUCAGUAAUUUGAGAAAAUUUCUGUUUUCUAUGAGUUGGGAGCAGCAAGUACUGCAGCCCAUUUGAGGUAUGAUAAUCAGCUGAUUAGCUAGUGGAGUCGUUUUCCCUGAGGCUCUUUUGUGUGCAAAAUCCUCACACUCAAUUGACAUGUGGACAUCAUAAAGCUGAUGAAAUGCAAUUGUAAUGAACAAGAGGGAGCGGCAUCUGCAGCCGUCUAAAUGAAGGACCCUUUCCUCUCGCCAUGCUAAUUCAGAAAAUCUGCUCUUAACGUAUACUCCCCCUGGAUUCCAAAUUGAGGCACAUCUCCAUGAAUGCAUAUUCAAGGAGUGAAUUAGCCUCUGUGGCAAGUGAGUGCCUAGCCUGGCCAGACUGAUUCUAAUUUCAAGACAGAUUAUACUGCAUCAACCAUAGUAAUGAUCUGACAGUUCAUUUGUGAUGAGAGUCCUACAGUCAGGUUUACUGCUCGGACAGACAGGUGCACAGAGAGAGCCAGCAAGACCUCUCAGGCAACACCAAAGGCUGCUGUCAAAUGAUUUCAGCCCAAAUAGCCAGAUG
rnacentral:lncRNA from 1 species